UACGGAGGGUGCAAGCGUUAUCCGGAUUCACUGGGUUUAAAGGGUGCGUAGGUGGGCUAGUAAGUCAGUGGUGAAAUCUCCGGGCUUAACCCGGAAACUGCCAUUGAUACUAUUAGUCUUGAAUACCAUGGAGGUGAGCGGAAUAUGUCAUGUAGCGGUGAAAUGCUUAGAUAUGACAUAGAACACCAAUUGCGAAGGCAGCUCGCUACGCGGUUAUUGACACUGAGGCACGAAAGCGUGGGAUCAAACAGGG
rnacentral:rRNA from 1 species